rnacentral:rRNA from 1 species
GUGGGGAAUAUUGGACAAUGGGCGAAAGCCUGAUCCAGCCAUGCCGCGUGUGUGAAGAAGGUCUUCGGAUUGUAAAGCACUUUAAGUUGGGAGGAAGGGCAGUAAGUUAAUACCUUGCUGUUUUGACGUUACCGACAGAAUAAGUACCGGCUAACUUCGUGCCAGCAGCCGCGGUAAUACGAAGGGUGCAAGCGUUAAUCGGAAUUACUGGGCGUAAAGCGCGCGUAGGUGGUUUUGUAAGUUGGAGGUGAAAUCCCCGGGCUCAACCUGGGAACUGCCUCCAAAACUACUGAGCUAGAGUGCGGUAGAGGGUUGUGGAAUUUCCUGUGUAGCGGUGAAAUGCGUAGAUAUAGGAAGGAACACCAGUGGCGAAGGCGACUACCUGGACUGAUACUGACACUGAGGUGCGAAAGCGUGGGGAGCAAACAGGAUUAGAUACCCCUGUAGUCC